rnacentral:tRNA from 1 species
GGAGAGGUGGCAGAGCGGUUGAAUGCGCCUGACUCGAAAUCAGGUUUGGGGUCAUACCCAACGGGAGUUCGAAUCUCCCCCUCUCCG